UACGUAGGGUGCAAGCGUUGUCCGGAAUUAUUGGGCGUAAAGAGCUCGUAGGCGGUCUGUCGCGUCUGCUGUGAAAACUCGGGGCUUAACCCCGGGCCUGCAGUGGGUACGGGCAGACUAGAGUGCGGUAGGGGAGACUGGAAUUCCUGGUGUAGCGGUGAAAUGCGCAGAUAUCAGGAGGAACACCGGUGGCGAAGGCGGUUCUCUGGGCCUUACCUGACGCUGAGGAGCGAAGGCGUGGGGAGCGAACGGG
rnacentral:rRNA from 1 species